rnacentral:tRNA from 1 species
AUUUAAAUAGUUUAAUUUAAAAUAUUGAUUUGUGGAGUCAAAAAUAUGAGCGAUCAUUUUAAAUU